UCAGGACGAACGCUGGCGGCAUGCCUAAUACAUGCAAGUCGAACGAGCUUCCGUUGAAUGACGUGCUUGCACUGAUUUUAACAAUGAAGCGAGUGGCGAACUGGUGAGUAACACGUGGGAAAUCUGCCCAGAAGCAGGGGAUAACACUUGGAAACAGGUGCUAAUACCGUAUAACAACAAAAUCCGCAUGGAUUUUGUUUGAAAGGUGGCUUCGGCUAUCACUUCUGGAUGAUCCCGCGGCGUAUUAGUUAGUUGGUGAGGUAAAGGCCCACCAAGACGAUGAUACGUAGCCGACCUGAGAGGGUAAUCGGCCACAUUGGGACUGAGACACGGCCCAAACUCCUACGGGAGGCAGCAGUAGGGAAUCUUCCACAAUGGACGAAAGUCUGAUGGAGCAUGCCGCGUGAGUGAAGAAGGGUUUCGGCUCGUAAAACUCUGUUGUUAAAGAAGAACACCUUUGAGAGUAACUGUUCAAGGGUUGACGGUAUUUAACCAGAAAGCCACGGCUAACUACGUGCCAGCAGCCGCGGUAAUACGUAGGUGGCAAGCGUUGUCCGGAUUUAUUGGGCGUAAAGCGAGCGCAGGCGGUUUUUUAAGUCUGAUGUGAAAGCCUUCGGCUUAACCGGAGAAGUGCAUCGGAAACUGGGAGACUUGAGUGCAGAAGAGGACAGUGGAACUCCAUGUGUAGCGGUGGAAUGCGUAGAUAUAUGGAAGAACACCAGUGGCGAAGGCGGCUGUCUAGUCUGUAACUGACGCUGAGGCUCGAAAGCAUGGGUAGCGAACAGGAUUAGAUACCCUGGUAGUCCAUGCCGUAAACGAUGAGUGCUAAGUGUUGGAGGGUUUCCGCCCUUCAGUGCUGCAGCUAACGCAUUAAGCACUCCGCCUGGGGAGUACGACCGCAAGGUUGAAACUCAAAGGAAUUGACGGGGGCCCGCACAAGCGGUGGAGCAUGUGGUUUAAUUCGAAGCUACGCGAAGAACCUUACCAGGUCUUGACAUCUUCUGCCAAUCUUAGAGAUAAGACGUUCCCUUCGGGGACA
rnacentral:rRNA from 2 species